UACGUAGGGUGCGAGCGUUGUCCGGAAUUAUUGGGCGUAAAGGGCUCGUAGGCGGUUUGUCGCGUCGGGAGUGAAAUCCACUGGCUUAACUGGUGGCUUGCUUUCGAUACGGGCAGACUGGUGAGUAUGCAGGGGAGAACGGAAUUCCUGGUGUAGCGGUGAAAUGCGCAGAUAUCAGGAGGAACACCGGUGGCGAAGGCGGUUCUCUGGGCAUGUCCUGACGCUGAGGAGCGAAAGUGUGGGGAGCGAACAGG
rnacentral:rRNA from 1 species